CAUGUAUGUGUGGCCUUCACCACCCAAGGUUUCGAUGCUCGGUACAACAAACUCUUUGCAGCGGUGAACGAAGGGGGAAAAGACUUCUUAACUAGGAAUUUAAGCAAGAAGCACAAGUGGGCACGCGCUCAUGACGAUGGUGGUUGGCGAUAUGGCGACAUGACGAGCAAUCUGGUAGAAUGUUUCAACAAUGUGUUGAAGGGUGCUCGUGCAUUGCCGGUGACUGCAAUAGUGGAGUACACCUUCUUCAAGCUUAAUGAGUAUUUUCAGAGGCAUUCUGAAGAGACUGUAAAAUGGGUAGGUGAAAAAAAGGAUUAUCCGGAAAAGGUUGAUGAAUGGUUGCAGUUACAAGCAAGCAAGUCUUCACGGCAACAAGUUAUCAUAUUCGAUAGAAUUGAAAUGAUCUAUCAAAUUGAUGAGCCAGGUGGCACAACACGAGACGAUAGACAAUAUGGCGGUGCUGCAUUUGAGGUGAAACUAAAGACUCGGUGGUGCCAGUGCGAGAGGCCUAGUAAGUAUCAUUGGCCAUGCUCGCAUUUGAUAACGGCGGCGAAGGCGAGAAACAUACAUGUUUGUGAUGGAAAAACCAUGUGGAUGCAAGAGUUCCAUCUGGAAGCUACUAGGUUGACAUGGGCGCCAAGAUUUCGCCCUUUCUUGGACCAAUCACAGUGGCCUGAGUACCAUGGCCCUCAUGUUAGGCCAGACCCUCUUCUGAAGGUGGAGACGAAGGGUAGAAGGAGAACUAAGAGGUUCAGGGGUGAUAUGGAUGACCUGGCUGGAUACACUGGCAUGAAACAAUUUGGUAGC
rnacentral:rRNA from 1 species